CUCCACGCAUUCAGCAACAGCCUUCUCUCCCAGCCCCUCACAGGGCAGAUUAAGACCGAGGCAAGUGCGAGCUGAUUCGGAUCCCUUCUGGUUGCCCUCUGAGGUUGGGUGCACUGUGAGCAAGAUGUGCCAAGUCUGCAGAGAGUUUCCUGCCAGCCAAGCCUCCAGUGGGCCUGCCGGAGAGAGCCGCGAUGGAAACCAUUCUGCAGAGGAUAAACUGGCCUGAACUUUCCACAGCCAUGGAAGAUUCUAGAACAGUAUGCACGCUGCCCAUGAGUGUAGAAAUGCAAUUCAGAGCUGUCCGUGGAAUUCUGAAGACAUCAGUCACAGCGGGAAAGGAGUCCAGCCAGCCCCCGAGGUCUGAGGUUUGUAAAGCUCUUAUCCUCAACAGCUCAUCUGAACACGAAGUGGCCAGCCCGCUAGAGCUGGGGUUAGGAUUCAAAGACACCAAGAUGGCGCCUGCUGAUAAACUCACAUGACCUCUCUUAUGUUGUACCUGAAGAAUGAAAGGAAGCUCACAGAGGCUCCACGCAUGUCACAAAUGUCCCAUGGAGCAC
rnacentral:lncRNA from 1 species